rnacentral:rRNA from 1 species
CCUACGGGUGGCAGCAGUGAGGAAUAUUGGUCAAUGGGCGCGAGCCUGAACCAGCCAAGCAGCGUGAAGGAUGACUGCUCUACGAGUUGUAACCUUCUUUUAUAAAGGAAUAAAGUGAGGCACGUGUGCCUUUUUGUACGUACUUUAUGAAUAAGGCACGGCUAACUCCGUGCCAGCAGCCGCGGUAAUACGUAGGAUCCGAGCGUUAUCCGGAUUUAUUGGGUUUAAAGGGAGCGUAGAUGGGUUGUUAAGUCAGUUGUGAAAGUUUGCGGCUCAACCGUAAGAUUGCAAUUGAUACUGGCAGUCUUGAGUACAGUUGAGGUAGGCGGAAUUCGUGGUGUAGCGGUGAAAUGCGUAGAUAUCACGAAGAACACCGAUGGCGAAGGCAGCUUACUAAACUGCCACUGACAUUGAUGCUCGAAAGUGUGGGGAUCAAACAGGAUUAGAUACCCUUGUAGUC